rnacentral:rRNA from 1 species
AGUGGCGGACGGGUGAGUAACGCGUAAGAAUCUAACUUCAGGACGGGGACAACAGUGGGAAACGACUGCUAAUACCCGAUGUGCCGCGAGGUGAAACCUAAUUGGCCUGAAGAAGAGCUUGCGUCUGAUUAGCUAGUUGGUGGGGUAAGAGCCUACCAAGGCGACGAUCAGUAGCUGGUCUGAGAGGAUGAGCAGCCACACUGGGACUGAGACACGGCCCAGACUCCUACGGGAGGCAGCAGUGGGGAAUUUUCCGCAAUGGGCGAAAGCCUGACGGAGCAACGCCGCGUGAGGGAGGAAGGUCUUUGGAUUGUAAACCUCUUUUCUCAAGGAAGAAGUUCUGACGGUACUUGAGGAAUCAGCCUCGGCUAACUCCGUGCCAGUAGCCGCGGUAAUACGGGGGAGGCAAGCGUUAUCCGGAAUUAUUGGGCGUAAAGCGUCCGCAGGUGUCAGCCAAGUCUGCCGUCAAAUCAGGUUGCUUAACGACCUAAAGGCGGUGGAAACUGGCAGACUAGAGAGCAGUAGGGGUAGCAGGAAUUCCCAGUGUAGCGGUGAAAUGCGUAGAGAUUGGGAAGAACAUCGGUGGCGAAAGCGUGCUACUGGGCUGUAUCUGACACUCAGGGACGAAAGCUAGGGGAGCGAAAGGGAUUAGAUACCCCUGUAGUCCUAGCCGUAAACGAUGGAUACUAGGCGUGGCUUG